rnacentral:lncRNA from 1 species
CUCUCUCUCUCUCUCUCUCUCUCUCUCCUGCGAACCAGAAACCUCUCCCCAUUUUUGGCUUGCGACGGCACGACUUCUCGUCGUCGCCACCGCCACCACACACCGCCACUUGGGGCGGCACCGGUUCCGUUGGAACCACCACACUUCCUACUUUCCAUUCCACCCCACCACCACCUCGAUCCGCCGUCGUGGUCGCCGGAAACAGCCACGAAACGUAGCGGUUUUGACAGAUUUUUGCCCAACUUUCGACCUCUCGUUCUCUCUCAUUUCUCCACCAAAUUUGACGAGUAAGGUAUGGUUUUCUACCUAUUUUCCAUGCUCUAGCUGAUGGUUGGGUAGGAUUUCGUUAAUUUUGAGCGUAGGUUAACUGAAUUUCAACUUAGGUUUCGGCCGGUUUUGGGUUUCCGAUUCCGGCCACUUCCGGCCAGUUUUUGGGGUAGGCCCAAGAACAAAAGUGACUCCAAAUAGGGUGUUGUACCUAGGAUAGGAGUCUUGAGCCGAGGUGUUGAGUUUUUCCGACGAAGGGUUAUCGCUUUGGACACCCACGCGCUGCCAGCGCGUGUGGCGGCGCGUGGGCACUGUAGCAAACGUACAUUAUUGUCCCAAUGCGAUCUCCUGGUUGUCACGAGUGCGUAGGAUUUUACGGAUCUCAAUUCGGACAUCGUAUGACUAUCGAACGGAUUUUCGCAUAUUGUGCGUUAUCCGGGUUCGAUAGGUUCGGACCGUUGGAUCGACUCCAUUCCAAUAUAUGUUACUCUAGACUUUCCUAGGAACGAGUAGGAUUUCACGGAUCAUGAAUCGGAGCCCCGGAUGUUCCGAUUCAAUAAUUUAAAGUUUGAAGAUUUUUCGAUAACCGUUCGAUCGUGAGCGAUCUAACCGUCCUUUUUGGACCAAACUUACGGGACUUGUGUCUUAAACCUUGUGGAACUCUUAGGAACUUCCAGUCCGUUACACUCGCUAGAAACCCGGGAAAUUAGGAUUUUUAAUUCAAGUUCUCGUUCGAAACCCUUUAUAUUAAUCCCGUAUUUGUAUUCUGAAAUAGGUACUCCGACCACGCAUUCGCAGCAGGCGGGACCCUCUCAGGGUCAGGCAGUGUGGGACUACUUGUGAGUGGACUUUGUUUUCAACUUAUAAGCAUGGUUUUAUAAUGAGAAUUUUAUGCAUAUGAUUUAAAUAGUCAUUGAAAUGCAUGUUAUAUUUAAUAGUUAAAUUCUUUAUUUUCAUAAAGUAAUGGUAAUAUAUUUGGGUUUUGACAUAUUUGAGUAUCUUGAGUAUGUAUAUAUGGAUUUUGAGAAUUUAUAUAUAUGUUUGGCUAUGUGUGGGGUACUUGGGUUGUUGAGAUGAGAUUUUGGAAAGUGAUGAGUAUAGAAUGUCAGUUUGGAGUGCUAUAAGCACUACCCUAUGUACCUCCCCUGAUUUUGGAACUUGGAUACGGAGACUUGAGAUACUCGGGGCAUCCUUGACGGGAUGUUGCUGUAGACCCUUGAUUGGGUAGUCUGCGCGCGUAGGACUGGUCACAGACGUACGAGUUUUGAGGGUAUCGACUGUACGUGCUGGCUGAGAGUUAGUCCCCCGGUUAGACGGCUCGUUCCCUAGUUACAUGGUGAAUUGAGGACUCUUCAUGGAUACUCUGCCAUGGUGACUAGUCAAACAAUCCCCCGGUUGGAUUGUUUCCCCGGUACAACUAGGUGUUGGUCAUAUUUAUAUUAUUAUUAUAUAUAUGUAUAUAUAUCUCUUAUAUUAUAUAUAUAUUUACAUAUGUAUAUAACUAUUCAUUCAUUCUUGUUUUUCGGUGAGGAUACUUCCUUGCCGGUCGUGCCAAUGGGUACGGUUUCGAGAGUUUGGUUUGGGACUUAUAAUAUUUAAUUGGUGGGUUUGUUUAGUGUUCUGUUUGGAUUUCGGACUUGGCAUCCGGCAUUGGUUUGGUUUUGACAUAUAUAAAUAUUUAUUUGAUUUUGAUGAUUUGGGAUACAUUCGGAUUUCUUGCUUGGUUUAUUAAAUAGUGGGGUUAUAUUAUGUUGGUUUACACUGAACUGAACUUUAUUUUUGUCCACACACAUUUUUCUGUUUUGCGCCCCCAGCCAGUAGUCGACUGAGCUUCGCAGCUGAGCCGGAUUGUGUGCUCACAAGCCUUGAGCCUUCGUAGGAUUUCUUCUUUCUGUUUUCCUUGAACUUUGUUUUUGUUGUAUCUAAAUUUCUUAGAUAUGCUAUGUUAUCGCCCUUGUUAGGGUUGAUCUUUGAGGCCGGAGGCCUUUGUUGUAAACUGUUUAUUUGCUUUAAAGCAUGUUGCUGGUUGGGUAUCUUAAACUGUGUUUUUGAGCAGGUUGAAUUUUUUGGGGGAAUGUUCAUUUUACAGGGGAGACUCUGCCAAAAUUUUUGGUAGAAAGUCUCGAUUCUUAGUAAGUGGGCCCGGCAUCGGGGAGAUGUCGGUAACGAGACGGGAUUCGCUCAUGUUUUCGGGAAUUCCGGGGCGGGUCCUGUCACUUAGAGUCCUAAAAUAAUCCUCAUGUCGUCCUGAGCACGACGGUAUGCUCGAAUUUCAAUUUAGUUAUCGUUUGGUCGUCGAUCGGACAUCGCAUAUUAGGCGUUAUCCAGGUUCGACAUGUUCGGGCCGUUGGAUCGACUCCAAUUUAUUAUAUGUUGAUCAAGACAUUCCUAGGAUCGUGUAGGAAUUUGUGGAUCGUGAAUCGGAGCCCCGGAUGUUCCGAUUUAGUAACUUAAAGUUUGCGUUGAACGAUAACCGUCCGAUCGUACGAUCUCGAGCAAUCCGACCAUUUGAUUCAGACAUGUUUAGUAAACCUUGCUGAAGCCGUGGGAACUUCCAGUUCGGAAAUCAGAGGUCAUGGUUGACCAAGUUUGGAUAGUUAGAGCCUCAAUUGACCGUGAGUCUUCAGAGGUAGUUUCACCAUUCGUGAAGUACUAGCACAACCGUGUGAACGAGUCUUGACCGUUAUUUGAGUUAUUUUGAUUAAGUUGGGAGUAUGAGCUUGUUUAUAUUAUCUUACAAAAUUCGGUUAUUAUUUUGAUAAUUGAAAUCAAGGUAUAGAUGAGUAUGGGAUACUUGAUUUGGUGGGUUGUGAAAGUGAGCCUUGGGCUCAUCUAUGAUUACUAAGAAGUGAGUGGACUUGGUUCUCAAAUAAUAUUCAUUAUUUUCAACGAUAGAAAAAUAUGCAUAUUGAGUCCUUUGACUUUGAGUUGUUAUAUGUUUUGAAGUAGAAAUAUAAUAUGAUUACAAAGAGUAUUGGAUUUAUGUUCGUACAUUUGCGGGAUGUGACAAUUCUGAAUGAAUUUAUGCUAUUUUUGAGCAUGGUUAUGUAUACUUGGAUUUGUGGUGUUGUACAUGGUGUUAUUGGAAAGGGUUCAUUAAAUGUGGAUUUGGUUGUGAUUUAUGUUUGAGUGCUAUUAGCACUACCUUAUGUACCUCCUCGGAUAUGGAUUAUAUACUUGAGAGUUUAUUGUCUAUACUAUGAAUAAAUUUUUGAAACAAUUGAAUUAAGGAAGGGAAUAUUGUUGUUUUGCAAUAGUGUUAUAAGGGUUACGAACUCCACUAUCAUGUGUAACUUACCUGGUCACUAUACUCACACGCAGCAUUGGAUUUUUCGAGCGUGUGGGCUUCCUUGGUUACGGAUUCUGGAAUUGAUGGAUACUUGGAAAUUGUGGAUAUGGUUGGAUAUGUCGGAACUCGGGGCACCCUUAACGGGGUGUUACCGUAGACCCUUGAUUGGGUAGCUUGCGCGCGUAGGACUUGUCAUAGGCGUACGAGUCUUGAGGAUUCGGUUGUACGUGCUGGUUGAGAGUUAGUCCCUCGGUUGGAUGGCUCGUUCCCUAGCCACAUGGUUAAUUGAGGAUUCUUUCAUGUGGACUAGUCAAACGAUCCCCAGUUUGAUUGUUUUUCCCAGUACAUGAUGUGCAUCAUCAUAUGUACCUCCCAUUGGAUACUAAUACUUGGAAACAGUGGAAAUGGAUACUUGGAUACAUGAAUAUGGAUAUGUGGAUAUGUAGACCCUUGAUUGAGUAGUUCGCGCUUAGGACUUGUCAUAGGCGUACGAGUCUAGAGGAUUCGGCUGUACGUUCUGGCUGAGAGUUAGUCCCUCGGUUGAGAUUCUUAAUUUUGUGUUUUAUGAUUACCCUACACUGGUAUGAAUGUCUAAGUCCUGGAUUGGGAAGUGUUGUUCGGCAACAUAUGCCUUGGAUAAGGUAUGAUUGCGCGGAAAGAAUUGUUAAAAGAAAGGAAGUCAUAAAGUGUUCAGGGUUGCCGUGUCGAAUAUUGAUAUAUUAAGGAAUUUAAAGUUAUUCGUUGGUGUUACUUAAAAGAAAAAUUGUAUAUUAUCGGAGCUGUGACUGUUGAUUUUAGAACUACGUGUGGCUUGAUCCCUCGCAAAGGGGUAAGUAGGUAGCCUGGGGUCUUACCUGGGUGCAGUCGCGAAAUAAACUAUAUUUAAAAGUUUUGACCGAUUCUGAGUGUGGAUUUUGAUGUAGUGGUUGGAUUUGAAUCCUAAUUAUUACUUUUGCUAGGUUCAGUUUUGAUUAUGUAAGUACGACUGAAACUCGAUUUAAACUUGAGCGAGAUUAAAUGCUUGCUUAUUUCUCAGUUAUCACUUGAUUGGAUUCUAUUAAAUAAAGUAUGUGGUUCUGUCAUGUCUGAGAUCCAUUUCGAAAUAAAUGAUUGAUUUUAGGUUGAUUAUAUUGUAUAAUGGGCUCGAGUCCCCUAGAACUGUUGGUGAUAAUCCAUAGAUGGUAGUUGUUGCAUGCUGAAGAUUUGUUGAAAGUAUUAUUGCCUUUUCGUAGGUUAAAAAUUUGGAAAGUUAUUUUAUGUUGAUUGCAGUGGUAUUCGUAAAAUGAUUUGAGUUCCUUAAUUGCAUUGCUAAUGUAUGAAUCGACUUAAGAGCAUUGCUAGUUAUUCUGCAUUGAUUUAUUUGAAGGCUGGAAGCCUUGUUUGUAAACUGUGUUAUUACAUUGUGUGUGCUGACAGUUGGCUUCUUAAAUUGUGAUUUUUUUACAGGUUGAAAAUUUGGGAAAAGUCCAAUUUACAUGGGAGAUUGUCGAAAUUUUGUCAGAAAGCCUCGUGCCCAUAUUCCUUUUUUUAGGGAAAGGAGGCUGUAGUAUUAGUAAGUGGGUCCGGCAUCGGUGUGAUGUCGGAAUUUUCGCAGGAUUCGUCCCGGAUUUCGAGGAAUUCGGGGCGAGUCCUCCUGUCAGUUCCACUGUUGUGAAUCCACAUCCCUUGGGUUUGCCUAAGUCAUUCAAGUGACUACAAUAUAAAUCAUUUAAAGCAAAAGCAGAGUGUAAUUAUAGUCUCUCCUCCAGAAAAAGAAGGAAAAUACAAAUUUUUAUGACUCACUCACUCAUUGAUUACACUAUUCUCUAUGUUCGACCAAAAAAAAAAAAAAAAACUGAUUACACUAAC